GAUGAACGCUGGCGGCGUGCCUAAUACAUGCAAGUCGAGCGAACAGAUGAGGAGCUUGCUCCUCUGACGUUAGCGGCGGACGGGUGAGUAACACGUGGAUAACCUACCUAUAAGACUGGGAUAACUUCGGGAAACCGGAGCUAAUACCGGAUAAUAUAUUGAACCGCAUGGUUCAAUAGUGAAAGACGGUUUUGCUGUCACUUAUAGAUGGAUCCGCGCCGCAUUAGCUAGUUGGUAAGGUAACGGCUUACCAAGGCAACGAUGCGUAGCCGACCUGAGAGGGGGAUCGGCCACACUGGAACUGAGACACGGUCCAGACGCCUACGGGAGGCAGCAGUAGGGAAUGUUCCGCAAUGGGCGAAAGCCUGACGGAGCAACGCCGCGUGAGUGAUGAAGGUCUUCGGAUCGUAAAACUCUGUUAUUAGGGAAGAACAAAUGUGUAAGUAACUAUGCACGUCUUGACGGUACCGAAUCAGAAAGCCACGGCUAACUACGUG
rnacentral:rRNA from 1 species